GCAUGAAUUUGCCACAUUUGAAGGGCCGAAGCAGUAUCAAAUCACCUAUAGCCAUAGCAAUCAACCCAACUGAAGAUUUUCUGUGAUGUUUCGAGGAAGAGAGAAGGUUGGGCAAAAGAAGACAGGGAUUGAGAAGCCAAGAGGUGUGCAAAGAAAUAGAAAAAUCAAAUCUUGUGUCCUAUCUCUGAAACAUUGGGUCUCUGACAACACUGAAAAAAAGAAGUACGGAGUUUCAGCCUCAGUUUCUCCAUCUGUAAAAUGAAAGAAGUGGGCUCGGUGACCUCUGAAAUCUUUUCUAGCUCCACAUCUAAAAGUUUCCUAUGAAACAUAAGGCCUUAUAUAUCUCUGCCCAGCUUGUAACAAGACAUUCAUUCCUACUGUGCUAAGAACUGCUUGUAGCUUCAUGGAAAUGUAAUGCUGCCAAGAGUAAUCAAUGAAAUGUUGCUCUCUUACGCCAAGCUGCUACGCACAAGCCAUCCGGCCAGGCUUUAAAAGGUUAGGGCACUUAGACUGACACUAAAGAUUGUCUGUGCCAGGUUUAGUCAAGAAGACAGAUAUUGAACAUGUAGCACGUUUAUUUCCUGUUUUUCUAGGAGUAGGGCUUGAGAGACAGACAGCACCUGAAGACAGAGCACCAGACAAUAUGGGGGUAAGAUUUUUUUCAGCAUAUCUUUCUUGGGGGCUGUUGAGUUCUUUCCAAAUCAUUAGGUAAUUCAAAGAAUUUAGCCCAAUUAUACAUGUCUUGAUUUCCUUUUGAAGGGCAUCAAGUGAGGCCCAUAAUUUUUUUUAAAUGUUUUCCUUUUAUUUUUCAGUCUCGAAUUUACCACUUACAAUUAAACAUGAAGGCACUUGGCAAUAUUUCACUGUUUUGUUAGCAUUCUUUCUAAUUCUCCUGGGCACGUCAUGAGAUGGAAAACCACUAAGAGUGUUUUGGGGAUCAAGGCGUGUCUGCUUCUGUGAUCUAAAGGUUCAGUGACACU